UACGUAUGGAGCAAGCGUUGUCCGGAAUCAUUGGGCGUAAAGCGCGCGUAGGUGGCUUCAUAAGUCCGUUGUGAAAGUCAAAGGCUCAACCUUUGAAAGCCGAUGGAUACUGUGAAGCUAGAGUACGGAAGAGGCGAGUGGAAUUCCUGGUGUAGCGGUGGAAUGCGCAGAUAUCAGGAGGAACACCAAUAGCGAAGGCAGCUCGCUGGGACGUUACUGACACUGAGGCGCGAAAGCGUGGGGAGCGAACAGG
rnacentral:rRNA from 1 species